UACGGAGGGGGCUAGCGUUGUUCGGAAUUACUGGGCGUAAAGCGCACGUAGGCGGAUAUUUAAGUCAGGGGUGAAAUCCUGGAGCUCAACUCCAGAACUGCCUUUGAUACUGAAGAUCUUGAGUUCGGGAGAGGUGAGUGGAACUGCGAGUGUAGAGGUGAAAUUCGUAGAUAUUCGCAAGAACACCAGUGGCGAAGGCGGCUCACUGGCCCGAUACUGACGCUGAGGCACGAAAGCGUGGGGAGCAAACAGG
rnacentral:rRNA from 1 species